GAUGAACGCUAGCGGCAGGCCUAAUACAUGCAAGUCGAACGAGAUUGAGGAGCUUGCUCCUCAUGAAAGUGGCGCACGGGUGCGUAACGCGUAUGCAAUCUACCUUAAUCAGGGGGAUAGCCCGGAGAAAUCCGGAUUAAUACCGCAUAACGUUAUUUUAUGGCAUCAUAGAAUAACCAAACAUUUAUGGGAUUAAGAUGAGCAUGCGUGACAUUAGUUAGUUGGUGAGGUAACGGCUCACCAAGACUACGAUGUCUAGGGGAUCUGAGAGGAUGACCCCCCACCACUGGUACUGAGACACGGACCAGACUCCUACGGGAGGCAGCAGUAAGGAAUAUUGGUCAAUGGGCGCAAGCCUGAACCAGCCAUGCCGCGUGCAGGAAGACGGCCCUAUGGGUUGUAAACUGCUUUUAUUCGGGAAUAAACCUCUUUACGAGUAAGGAGCUGAAUGUGCCGAAGGAAUAAGGAUCGGCUAACNCCGUGCC
rnacentral:rRNA from 1 species